rnacentral:misc_RNA from 1 species
GAUGAAGAACGCAGUGAAAUGCGAUAAGUAAUGUGAAUUGCAGAAUUCAGUGAAUCAUCGAAUCUUUGAACGCACAUUGCGCCCCCUGGUAUUCCGGGGGGCAUGCCUGUUCGAGCGUCAUUUCACCACUCAAGCCUCGCUUGGUAUUGGGCAACGCGGUCCGCCGCGUGCCUCAAAUCGACCGGCUGGGUCUUCUGUCCCCUAAGCGUUGUGGAAACUAUUCGCUAAAGGGUGCUCGGGAGGCUACGCCGUAAAACAAACCCAUUUCUAAGGUUGACCUCGGAUCAGGUAGGGAUACCCGCUGAACUUAAGCAUAUCAAUAACGGAGGA